GGGGGAUNNNNNCGGUGGUCCCACCUGACCCCAUGCCGAACUCAGAAGUGAAACGCCGUAGCGCCGAUGGUAGUGUGGGGUCUCCCCAUGCGAGAGUAGGGAACUGCCAGGCA
rnacentral:rRNA from 1 species